UACGUAGGGUGCGAGCGUUGUCCGGAAUUACUGGGCGUAAAGAGCUCGUAGGUGGUUUGUCGCGUUGUUCGUGAAAACUCACAACUCAAUUGUGGGCGUGCGGGCUGAUACGGGCAGACUGGAGUACUGCAGGGGAGACUGGAAUUCCUGGUGUAGCGGUGGAAUGCGCAGAUAUCAGGAGGAACACCGGUGGCGAAGGCGGGUCUCUGGGCAGUAACUGACGCUGAGGAGCGAAAGCGUGGGGAGCGAACAGG
rnacentral:rRNA from 1 species